GGCGAUGUAAUUGAUAAACACAAAGCCGCGGCAUUGAUCGAUAACGUGAAAGAGGGGGUUCCAGUCGAAGAGGGACAGCAUCCAUCCAGGGAGCGUUUUGGCGAGAAACAUUUUGCCGGAGGCGAUCAUGUUCGCCCGA
rnacentral:ncRNA from 1 species